GUCAAGUCAACCCUCGUUGAUCUAUAUAUAAUCAACUCUCGUUGUGAUCUUCGUUGCCAACUCUCGUUGAUCUUCAUGUCAACCCUCGUUGAUCUCCAUUAUCAACCCUCGUUGAUCAAUAUCUAAUCAACUCUCGUUGUUGAUCUUCGUUGUCAACUCGCGUUGUUGAUCUCCAUGAUCAACCCUCGUUGAUUAACAACCAGAAGUCGAUGUUCUUCUUGUUAGGGGAUCAAUAUAUAUGAACGUGCUGGGACAAACGCAACAUCUGAUAUCAACUCUCGUCGAUGCUUUAACGAUCAAUCCUUGAUCUCAUCAUCAAUAUUCGUUGAUGCUUUAACGAUCAACUGAUCUCGUUGAUCUCAUCAUCAACACUCGUUGAUCCUAAUCAACUAUCGUUGAUGCUUUAACGAUCAAGUACUCUUCUUGAUCUCAUCAUCAACACCUCGUUGAUCCUAAUCACCUCUCGUUGAUGCUCUCACGAUCAAGUACUCUUCUUGAUCUCAUCAUCAACACCUCGUUGAUCCUAAUCAACUCUCGUUGAUGCUCUCACGAUCAAGUACUCUUCUUGAUCUCAUCAUCAACACCUCGUUGAUCCUAAUCAAUUCUCGUUGAUGCUCUAAUAUCAUCAGCUCUCGUUGACCCUCUCACCAUUAACCCUUGUUGAUAAAAGAAGCAAGGUUCUUGCAUUGGGUGGGGUUGUUUUUGACUUUUGCCAUGACAGGUGCGCUUGCUUGGCAAGUCGAAGACCCUAAAUAAUAAGCGAGCCUACGGGUAUAUAAGUGGAGCAUCUGAUCAACUCUCGUUGGCCCUCUCACCAUCAACUCUCGUUGGCCCUAUAACCAUCAACUCUGUUGAUUCUAAUCAACGUCCCUCGUUGAGUUUUUAAAAAGAAGGAACUUGAAUCUAUCUCCAUAGAUUUACUUUCUUGUUUGGGCUUCCAAACUGAAAAAGAAGGGGAUGCAUACGACCUUUGCCAUGACAGGUGCGCUUCCUUGGCAGGUCUAGAAACCCUAUAAAAGAAAAGAAAAAAAAGAUUCAAAGUUUGGUUUCUUGGAUCGCACGGUAUUGCUACAUAAUUGCAUAGAUAUAGCGCUAGUUCGUGUCAGAAUCAUGGAUCAAUUUUUAUGGAGAGAAUGUUUACCUCUCAUCUCUCAUACAUGAAGAUGCUGGAAUAUGAUCUUUGUGAAUGAGAAGAUGUCUAGGAUCAGGUUGUGGUGAUUGGAACGAAGUGGAUGUAGUAGCGUACCAAAUUCAAUUUCCAUUGAUUCAUGGAAAAACAUCGUUUGGAUUUUAAAAUUUCAACAUAUUGUUUUUUUGGUCAUA